UUGGGGCUGGGGGCUCUAUCUAUACUAUGGGGCUGUAUCUCUCUAUGGGGCUGAGCUGUAUCUAUGGGUCCUGCCCCACACUUGUAGGUCUGUCUGACAUCCCCGGUGAGGCCAUGGUGAAGCUGUAUUGCCCCAAGUGUUGUGUCUAUGGGGCUGGGGGCUCUAUCUAUCUAUGGGGCUGGGGGCUCUAUAUGGCUAUAACUAUCUAUGGGUCUUGCCACACUAUGUAGGUCUGGCUCUAGACAUCCGGUUGAGGCCAUGUGAGCUGUACUCAAGUGUUGUUUAUGGGGCUGGGGGCUCUAUCUAUUAUGGGGCU
rnacentral:lncRNA from 1 species